rnacentral:tRNA from 2 species
GGUCCGUUAGCUCAGUCGGUAGAGCGUGGUGCUGAUAACGCCAAGGUCGUGAGUUCGACCCUCACACGGACCA